rnacentral:rRNA from 1 species
GCAUAUCAAUAAGCGGAGGAAAAGAAACUAACAAGGAUUCCCCUAGUAACUGCGAGUGAAGCGGGAAAAGCUCAAAUUUAAAAUCUGGUGGUCUUUGGCCAUUCCGAGUUGUAGUCUGGAGAAGUGCUUUCCGCGCUGGACCGUGUAUAAGUCUCUUGGAACAGAGCGUCAUAGAGGGUGAGAAUCCCGUCUUUGACACGGACUACCAGUGCUUUGUGAUGCGCUCUCAAAGAGUCGAGUUGUUUGGGAAUGCAGCUCAAAAUGGGUGGUAAAUUCCAUCUAAAGCUAAAUAUUGGCGAGAGACCGAUAGCGAACAAGUACCGUGAGGGAAAGAUGAAAAGCACUUUGGAAAGAGAGUUAAACAGUACGUGAAAUUGCUGAAAGGGAAACACUUGAAGUCAGUCGCGUUUACCGGAACUCAGCCUUGCUUUUGCUUGGUGCAUUUUCUGGUUAACGGGCCAGCAUCAAUUUUGACCGGUGGAAAAGGGCUGGAGAAAUGUGGCACCUUCGGGUGUGUUAUAGUCUCUUGUCGCAUACGCCGGUUGGGAUUGAGGACCGCAGCGCGCCGUAAGGCAGGGGUUCGCCCACUUUCGCGCUUAGGAUGCUGGCAUAAUGGCUUUAAAUGACCCGUCUUGAAACACGGACCAAGGAGUCUAACAUGCCUGCGAGUGUUUGGGUGGAAAACCCGAGCGCGUAAUGAAAGUGAAAGUUGAGACCUCUGUCGUGGAGGGCAUCGACGCCCGGACCUGACGUUCUCUGACGGAUCCGCGGUAGAGCAUGUAUGUUGGGACCCGAAAGAUGGUGAACUAUGCCUGAAUAGGGUGAAGCCAGAGGAAACUCUGGUGGAGGCUCGUAGCGAUUCUGACGUGCAAAUCGAUCGUCAAAUUUGGGUAUAGGGGGCGAAAGACUAAUCGAACCAUCUAGUAGCUGGGUCCCUGCGA